rnacentral:pre_miRNA from 1 species
UAUUAAAGAUUAUAUUCAUUUUUACAGUUAAAAACUAGUUUCUUAUGUUAGCAUGAAAUACAUAUGGCACGUUACACAUAACUAUCUAGUUACUUUUCAUCUACAACAAUUUUUAACAGUAUAAAUAGAUGAAGUUUUUAACA